UACGUAGGGAGCAAGCGUUGUUCGGAUUUACUGGGCGUAAAGGGCGCGUAGGCGGCGCGGUAAGUCACUUGUGAAAUCUCUGAGCUUAACUCAGAACGGCCAAGUGAUACUGCAGUGCUAGAGUGCAGAAGGGGCAAUCGGAAUUCUUGGUGUAGCGGUGAAAUGCGUAGAUAUCAAGAGGAACACCUGAGGUGAAGACGGGUUGCUGGGCUGACACUGACGCUGAGGAGCGAAAGCUAGGGGAGCAAACGGG
rnacentral:rRNA from 1 species